GGUCAGAUGGCCGAGUGGUCUAAGGCGCCAGACUAAGGUGCAUUAGCAGUUAUCUGGUCCGAAAGGGCGUGGGUUCGAAUCCCACUCUGAUCA